CCAGCAGCCAGCACCCAGCGCAGGCCCCGCAGCCGAGCUGUGCAGUGGCACCAUGCAGGUCACCCUGAAGACCCUCCAGCCGCAGACCUUCAAGAUAGACAUUGACCCGGAGGAGACAGUGAAAGCACUGAAAGAGAAGAUAGAAUCUGAAAAGGCGAAAGAUGCCUCUCCGGUAGCAGGUCAAAAAUUAGUUUAUGCAGGCGAAAUCCUCAAUGAUGAUACUGCUCUCAAAGAAUAUAAAAUUGAUGAGAAAAUCUUUGUGGUGGUUAUGGUUAUGGUGACCAAACCCAAAGCAGUGUCAACACCAGCACCAGCUACAACUCAGCAGUCAGCUCCUGCCAGCACUACAGCAGUUACUUCCUCCACAGCAACAACUGUGGCUCAGGCUCCAACCCCUGUCCCUGCUUUGGCUCCCACUUUCACACCCGCAUUUAUCACUCCAGUAUCAGUGACAGUGUCUUCUGAACCUGCACCUGCUAGUGCAACUAAACAAAAGAAACCUGCAGAAAAGCCAGCAGAGACACCAGUGGCUACUAGGCCGACAUCAACUGAUUGUACAUCGUGAGAUUCUUCUUGGUCAAACCUUUUCCAAGAUGCAACGAGUGCACUUGUGACAGGUCAGCCUUAUGAGAAUAUGGUAACUGAGAUCAUGCCAAUGGGCUAUGAAUGAGAGCAAGUAAUUGCAGCCCCGAGAGCCAGUUUCAAGAACCCUGACAGGGCAGUGGAGUAUCUUGUAAUGGGAAUCCCUGGAGAUAAAGUCAGGUUGUGGUUGACCCCCACCAAGCAGCUAGUACUGGGGUUCCUUAAUCUUCAACACUGGCUGCAGUUGCAGCAACUACGACAGCAACGACAACAACAAGUUCUGGAACAUCCCCUUGAAUUUUUAUGGAAUCAGCCUCAGUUUCAACAGAUGAGACAAAUUAUUCAACAGAAUACUUCCCUGCUUCCAGCGUUACUACAGUAGAUAGGUGGAGAGAAUCCUCAAUUACUUCAGCAAAUUAGCCAACACAAGGAGCAUUUUAUUCAGAUGUUAAAUGAACCAGUUUGAGAAGCUGAUGGUCGAGGAGGAGGAGGAGGAGGUGGCAGUGGAGGAAUUGCAGAACCUGGAAAUGGUCCUAUGAACUACAUUCAAGUAACGCCUCAGGAAAAAGAAGCUAUAGAAAGGUAGGAAUUCCUGAAGGACUUGUGAUACAAGCAUAUUUUGCUUGUGAGAAGAGUAAGAAUUUGGCUUCCGAUUUUCUUCUACCGCAGAACUUUGAUGAAGAUUGA